rnacentral:rRNA from 1 species
CACGGGGUUGCGAGCGUUGUCCGGAAUUACUAGGCGUAAAGGGCAGGCAGGCGGAUCCAUAAGUUUAUCGUUUAAGGCGUCGGCUUAACCGGCGUAGGGCGGUAGAUACUGUGGAUCUGGAAUGCGGUUGGGGAAGACGGAAUUCCUGGUGUAGCGGUGGAAUGCGCAGAGAUCAGGAGGAAUACCGAAGGCGAAGGCAGUCUUCCAAGCCGUUAUUGACGCUCAACUGCGAAGGUGUGGGUAUCAAACAGGAUUAGAUACCCGGGUAGUCCCUGAGCGGG